AGCUUCCCUUCGGGGCAGCGGUGACAGGUGGUGCAUGGUUGUCGUCAGCUCGUGUCGUGAGAUGUUGGGUUAAGUCCCGCAACGAGCGCAACCCUUAUCUUUAGUUGCCAGCAUUCAGUUGGGCACUCUAGAGAGACUGCCGUCGACAAGACGGAGGAAGGCGGGGAUGACGUCAAAUCAUCAUGCCCCUUAUGACCUGGGCUACACACGUGCUACAAUGGCUGGUACAACGGGAUGCUAGCUCGCGAGAGUACGCAAAUCUCUUAAAACCAGUCUCAGUUCGGAUUGCAGGCUGCAACUCGCCUGCAUGAAGUCGGAAUCGCUAGUAAUCGCGGAUCAGCAUGCCGCGGUGAAUACGUUCCCG
rnacentral:rRNA from 1 species